AUUGAACGCUGGCGGCAGGCCUAACACGUGCAAGUCGAGCGGAUGACGGGAGCUUGCUCCUUGAUUCAGCGGCGGACGGGUGAGUAAUGCCUAGGAAUCUGCCUGGUAGUGGGGGACAACGUUCCGAAAGGGGCGCUAAUACCGCAUACGUCCUACGGGAGAAAGUGGGGGAUCUUCGGACCUCACGCUAUCAGAUGAGCCUAGGUCGGAUUAGCUAGUUGGUGAGGUAAAGGCUCACCAAGGCGACGAUCCGUAACUGGUCUGAGAGGAUGAUCAGUCACACUGGAACUGAGACACGGUCCAGACUCCUACGGGAGGCAGCAGUGGGGAAUAUUGGACAAUGGGCGAAAGCCUGAUCCAGCCAUGCCGCGUGUGUGAAGAAGGUCUUCGGAUUGUAAAGCACUUUAAGUUGGGAGGAAGGGCAGUAAGUUAAUACCUUGCUGUUUUGACGUUACCGACAGAAUAAGCACCGGCUAACUCUGUG
rnacentral:rRNA from 1 species